ACCUACGGGAGGCAGCAGUGGGGAAUUUUGGACAAUGGGCGCAAGCCUGAUCCAGCCAUGCCGCGUGAGUGAAGAAGGCCUUCGGGUUGUAAAGCUCUUUCGGCCGGAACGAAAUCGACCGGGCUAAUACCCCGGUUGUAUGACGGUACCGGAAGAAGAAGCACCGGCUAACUACGUGCCAGCAGCCGCGGUAAUACGUAGGGUGCAGGCGUUAAUCGGAAUUACUGGGCGUAAAGCGUGCGCAGGCGGCUUCCUAAGUCAGAUGUGAAAUCCCCGGGCUUAACCUGGGAACUGCGUUUGAAACUGGGAGGCUAGAGUGCGGCAGAGGGAGGUGGAAUUCCACGUGUAGCAGUGAAAUGCGUAGAUAUGUGGAGGAACACCGAUGGCGAAGGCAGCCUCCUGGGCCAGCACUGACGCUCAUGCACGAAAGCGUGGGGAGCAAACAGGAUUAGAUACCCCGGUAGC
rnacentral:rRNA from 1 species